ensembl:snRNA Gm25599 U6 spliceosomal RNA
GCUCUCUUUGGUAGCACAUAUAUUAAAAUUGGAAUGAUACAGAGAUUAGCAUGGCUCCUGCACAAGGAUUGACCUUAACUUUUAUAAAUAAUAGCAUUCUUGU